rnacentral:misc_RNA from 1 species
AAGUCGUAACAAGGUCUCCGUUGGUGAACCAGCGGAAGGAUCAUUAACACGUUCCAAAACGUAUCAACCAAACGGUUAAGUGCAAACUUAUUCCCUCAUAACAUGGAGCUGUUCAUCUGAAUCUAGUGAUGGGUGAGUCUUCGGACUUGCAGAAUCAGAUGGGCUAGGGUCUCGAGCCCAGUGUUCCUGUUGUGAGGCUUUCCUUUUUUCUCCAUCACUUCCAACUAACCAUUUUCACCCUUUUAAACCAUAUGACUAAAUCUUUCGAACGAAGAAAUUUGUUUGGAAUUGUAUAUCUAACACUGUACAACUCUUAGCAAUGGAUAUCUUGGUUCUC